CACGUAGGGCGCAAGCGUUGUCCGGAAUUAUUGGGCGUAAAGAGCUCGUAGGCGGUCUGUUACGUCUGCUGUGAAAACUCGGGGCUUAACCCCGAGCUUGCAGUGGAUACGGGCAGACUAGAGGUAGGUAGGGGAGAAUGGAAUUCCCGGUGUAGCGGUGAAAUGCGCAGAUAUCGGGAGGAACACCGGUGGCGAAGGCGGUUCUCUGGGCCUUACCUGACGCUGAGACGCGAAAGCGUGGGGAGCGAACAGG
rnacentral:rRNA from 1 species